ACCAAUUCUGGGGGAUAAACCAGUUCCUCUUGGCAUAAUGGCUCGGACGCUAUAUAAUUUUUUUGUGGCCAUCCUGAUCAAUGGUCGUUUCCCUGCCAUAUGAUCUUGGAAACACCACGAACAUUC